rnacentral:rRNA from 1 species
GAUGAAACGCUAGCUACAGGCUUAAACACAUGCAAGUCGAGGGGCAGCAUGGUCUUAGCUUGCUAAGGCCGAUGGCGACCGGCGCACGGGUGAGUAAACACGUAUCCAACCUGCCGUCUACUCUUGGACAGCCUUCUGAAAGGAAGAUUAAAUACAAAGAUGGCAUCAUGAGUCCGCAUGUUCACAUGAUUAAAAGGUAUUCCGGUAGACGAUGGGGAUGCGUUCCAUUAGAUAGUAGGCGGGG